rnacentral:lncRNA from 1 species
CACAUACAUAUAUACAUUGUUGUUGUUUAGUCAUUUAGUCGUGUCCGACUCUUCGUGACCCCACACAUACAUAUAUACAUAUACCUACAUACACACACACACACACACACACAUAUAUAUAUAUUCUCGCACAUACAUAAACGUUGCAUCAUAAACGUCACUGUCCCAAGCAUAACCCUUCCCCAACCACAAACGUAACUACAAACUGUUAAGUUGUGGGUGGACGUAUCAGACCACACAGUGAUUCUUCAAACAGCUCUUGUUUAUUCACAGGCCAGAACAGAACUGAACUGAAGGGUUCAGCCAGCCUGCUUAUAUAGAGCUCGACUAGAACGCAACAGUAACCAUUUUCUGUAACUAUCCAAUCACUGAACGUCACUUUCAAUCCCUUAUUUGCAUAUGUGGACCUGAGUGAAAACUAUCUACAGUAUUUCACCGGCUGGCCCAGGGUGAGAACUUCAGUACAUAACACAAACCUUCCCGCAACCCACUAACGGAAGAUUGCAACACAGUCCAUAAUUAAACGCAAAAUUGGAACUGCCCAUUUGUUUCAAAUCCAAGUAAAACGUUAAUUCAACAAAAUGGCUGAACUUGAUCCAAGGAUACCAGCUUUGAAAAGUCAGUUAUUUAUACUUUCUGCACCCCUCUAGAGAAUCCCACUGCCCGCCCCCAACCACUGCUUUUGACUGACUCUUCCAUUCAGUAUUGGCGCAGGAAAGGGGAAAUCUCCAAUUUCGUUGUAGAGGAAGCUCUGGAGCAUUUGUUUCCCUUUUUAGAAACUUUUUUGCUAAGCAUUUUGGUUCGAUCCGGUUGCGCACCGUCUGGGCUUCCUUGCGCGUGGGAAGGAAGCUGACUCGCUCUUCUGGUUUGCUCAGGAACUGCGAGCAGCUCAGCGCCACUCCCCAAAAAGGGAGCCUCGCCAACAAGGCUGUUGUUCGUCAGAACGGGUAAUGGCGGACGCCGAAGUUUGGAGACUGCCAUCUUGAGAAGGGGAAGCCACCGGGGAGCGCGGAUCGAGAGGUGUGGUUGCGCGAGUAGGGCUUGCUCAGAGGUAAGGAGCGGUGUCGCCGGCAUGGCGCGCUUCGUAAGGCGGUGAGGAAAAGGAUCCGCAAGCUAAAACCGGGCUGCUUCUGAAAGUGCGCCUUGGAAUAACUCCCAAGUCGUGUGAACGGGGUAGGAGGAGGAGGGAUCGGCGCCCGUUUCUCGCGAGCCCGUGCAGGUUUACUCGGAAGUAAGUCCCGCCGAAUAGCGCGCUCGCAAGUUUACGCGGCGCGUCUCUCCUCUUUGGAGAGAUACCAGCUCAGACUGCUCUCGACCCCAUUAAACGUUGGGGAUACUUCUGAAUAAAGAUUUUUAUUUUUAUUUUAAGGAAGUCGGCUUGUAAGGAAAGGCUACUUAGAGGGGUAACGUUAGAGCUGCGACAUAAACCGCUUUUUAUAUAAAAAAGAACUGCAUCGGGAGAUAACGAGAUAAGCGCACUUUGUGCGCCAAGGACGCCUUUUCGCUUUUGUUUCUGGCCAAAGUACAUACGCAUUAGAAGGGCGUUACGCGUUACCCUAUUACCACCAGCAUUAUUCUUAUUUUAAGGGUUAUUCUUUAAUGAAAAGGGAACAUCCGAGGCUGUGACGAGAAUGGCUUAACCUUUCUAUCUUAGCCUGCUUUCCCCAAGAGAAGAAAGUCAUAGGAGACGUUUUUUAAAAACUUCUUACAUGAGCUCAGUGAGAGCCCCAGCCUGUUGAUAUCUUUCCCCCCACAAUAAUAUUUAUUAAGUUUCAUACAAAUACAACACAUACUAUAAAACCAAUG